rnacentral:rRNA from 1 species
GAUGAACGCUGGCGGCGUGCCUAAUACAUGCAAGUAGAACGCUGAAGGAGGAGCUUGCUCUUCUGGAUGAGUUGCGAACGGGUGAGUAACGCGUAGGUAACCUGCCUGGUAGCGGGGGAUAACUAUUGGAAACGAUAGCUAAUACCGCAUGACAACAGUUAUUGCAUGAUAACUGUUUAAAAGGGGCAACUGCUCCACUACCAGAUGGACCUGCGUUGUAUUAGCUAGUUGGUGAGGUAACGGCUCACCAAGGCGACGAUACAUAGCCGACCUGAGAGGGUGAUCGGCCAAACUGGGACGGAGACAAGGCCCAGACUCCUACGGGAGGCAGCAGGAGGGAAUCUUCGGCAAUGGACGGAAGUCUGACCGAGCAACGCCGCGUGAGUGAAGGAGGUUUUCGGAUCGUAAAGCUCUGUUGUAAGAGAAGAACGAGUGUGAGAGUGGAAAGUUCACACUGUGACGGUAUCUUACCAGAAAGGGACGGCUAACUACGUG